UCCAGUUUGACACUGGCAGUCCCCCUAGAGUGCCCAACUUAAUGCUGGCAACAAGGGGCGUGGGUUGCGCUCGUUGCGGGACUUAACCCAACAUCUCACGACACGAGCUGACGACAGCCAUGCAGCACCUGUCUAUCAGUCCCCGAAGGGAAAGCCUGCUUUCACAGAGCCGUCCAAUAGAUGUCAAGACCAGGAUAAGGUUCUUCGCGUUGCGUCGAAUUAAACCACAUGCUCCACUGCUUGUGCGGGUCCCCGUCAAUUUCUUUGAGUUUUAAUCUUGCGACCGUACUCCCCAGGCGGGAUGCUUAACGCGUUAGCUCCGUCACUGAAAGGGUUAACACUUCCAACGACAAGCAUCCAUCGUUUACGGCGUGGACUAC
rnacentral:misc_RNA from 1 species